GGUUGAUCCUGCCAGCGGUGAUAUGCUCAGAUAAAAGAUUAAGCCAUGCAUGUCUAAGACCACAUUGUUAAACGAUUAAUCUGCGAACGGCUCAUUACAACAGCUAUAAUCUACUUGAUUUUGACAUCCUAAUUGGAUAACUGCGUUAAUUUUGGAGCUAAUACAUGCAUUCAAGCUCUGAUCCUCGUGUGACGAGCGCAUUUAUUAGAUAAAAACCAAUCGGGGCAACCCGUCCAUGGUGACUCUGAAUAACGUAGCUGAUCGUAUGGUCUCGUACCGACGACAGGUCAUU
rnacentral:rRNA from 1 species